CCACAUGUGCAGUCAGUGGAGGGGGUAUAGUUCACAACCACAAGGAGCAGCCCCUGAACUAAAAUCAUCUUCUCAAGAUGUUGUUAUUGCUUUCCCUAUCAUUCGAUUAACUAUGGAUCUACUAAAUUUUAGGACUAAAUGAAAAUCUCUCUCUUUUUCUUCUGCGGUGACAUGCUGUGAUUGACACCUGUGUCUGGCUGCCAUGAGUGGUUUGGGUUGGAAGGGACCUUAAAGAUCCAGACCCAACUCUGCUGCCAUAGGCAGGGACAUCUGCCACCAGAUCAGGGGCCUCAAAGUCCCAUCCAACCUGGCCUGGAACCCCUCCAGGGAUGGGGCAGCCACCUCUGCUCUGGGCACCCUGGGCCAGGGCCUCCCCACCCUCACAAGAAAAUAUUUCUUCCUAAGUUCUCAUCUCAAUCUCCCCUCUUUCAGCUGAAAACUGUUCCCCUUCAACCUAUCCCGGCUCUCCCUACUCAAGAGCCCCUCCCCAGCUUUCCUGGAGCCCCUUUGAGUACUGGAAGUUGCUCUAAGGUCUCCCUGAAGCCUUCUCCAGGCUGAACAACACCAACUCUCUCAGCCUGUCCUCUAUGGAAGGUGCUUCAGCCCUCGGAUCAUCUUCCUGGCCUCCUCUGGACUUGCUCUAGCAGUCCUUCCAGUGCUGCAUGUUUUCUUGUUUUCAUUAUAGCUGUUUUGCAUGGCAGAAAUAUGAUGUUCCCAUUGUAUUACAAAUCUUCCUCAGCCCCACAAUUUUGGUUUAAGGGAUUCAGUUUUUUAUGUCAUAGGGCUUUUCUGCAAGUGAAAUUUGCAUUGCCCAUGAUUAUCUCCAGUGAAAAUUCCUCAUGAAGUUCACAUUUCAAUUAAUAUUUCUGGUUCCUGAUCACAAGAAUAUAAAAAGUUUUAUAUUCUGAACUGGUGUGGAAUAGCCAACAAGUAAUUCUGCUGCAGCUCCAUUAUAUUUUUAAAAAUUACCUGCCCUCUGUUGUGACACGACUCCCACAGUACAGCAGCAGAGACAUAUAAAUAACUAUCUUCUAAACUUUCUGUCGACGAAUAUUGUUUUCUGUCAUCACAAUUGCACCAUGAAAUAUGAAAGUUCAAUUUCCUCUUCAUUUCCUUUUAAUAAAACUUCUGUUCAUUUCAUUUUUGAAAAGAGAUUGGAUCUAAAUUACUUUGACUUCUUCUGGCCUAACUUUGGUGAAUGUUUCAAGAGAGAAUCUGAAACCCUUUUAAAACCCACCAGGGAGAUUAAGGGCUGUAUUCUGGGGGAGUUGUACUUACAUUCUCAUCUCUCUUUCAAUACAAGUCUUUUGCAUUUAGAAAUGACAGUAUUCAUUCCUGCAUAUUGUUACAAGAAGCAUAAAAAUUGUGCCCCCACCAUUGCUGCUGUUUAAAACUUAACAUUUCCAAAGAGUAAUUUUUUUGUUCAAGCAGUAGCCGAGGGAGUUAACCACAAAUGUAAAUUUGCCAGAUUAUUUUUCAUCAAAAGCCAUUGUACUUCAUGGUCUUUACACAGCCUUUCCCAAUGUGAGUAGGUAGCAUCCAGAGGGAUGGGAGCUCUAUCAUAGAAUCGUACAAUCACCAGGUUGGAAAGGACCUACUGGAUCAUCGAAUCCAACCAUUCCUAUCUAUCCUUAAACCAUGCCCCUCAGCACCUCAUCCACUCAUCCCUUAAACACCUCCAGGGAAGGUGACUGAACCCCCUCCCUGGGCAGCUGUUCCAGUGCCCAAUGACCCUUUCUGUGAAAAAUUUUCUCCUGAUGUCCAGCUUGAACCUCCGCUGGUGGAGCUUGAGGCCAUUCCCCCUUGUCCCGUCCCCUGUCACAGUGUGAUCUUUACUGUUGUAACUACCAGUGGCUUAUUGGUGAUCGAGAGAAUGGAAUUAAACCAAGCGAAAAAUAAAUCGGCUAAAUCAAAUGCAGAUUCCACAGGUUCGCUCUCCAUGCAUGACUUGUGGCUUAGCAACUCUGUCUGUCCACUGAAGUUAGAGGCUUCCACACUAAAUAACAUCUUCCAACACAACAGGUUAGAAGACCAGACUGUCUUACAGCACUGAGUGUUUCAUAAUGUUUGUUCGCUUCAGCUCAGAGUAAAGUGCAUGCCGAGUGCUGUGGAAUUGGAGGAAUUCCUGCUUAAACCUCUCUAACAGAAGUGUCAUUUCUCCAAGUAUUUCAGAAAAUGUAUCAUGACUUUUAGAGGCAUAAAUACUAACAGUUGUUUCAGUGCACAUAACUUCACACACGUGCAUCUGCAUUAGUGAUGGAAUAAAUAUACUCAGAAAAGAAGGAUUUUUUCUUUUUUAGACUUUGUUGUAAGUUUGAGAAACAGUGUGAUGCAGACACUGACAGUUCGUGCCAUUCUGGAAGUGAGCUUUUGUCAGCUGGGAUUGCAUACUAUGGUUGACAAUGAUUCUCUAUUCAUAGUUACUCUUUGGGCUUGAGGGGUUGGAACUAGAUGAUUCUUCAGGUCCCUUCCAACCCAAACUAUUCUAUGAUUCUAUGAUUCUAUUUUUUUGUGAUGCGUAAAUCCAGGCAGGAGAAGUGGUUAUGUCUGUGCAAAUGCAGAGUAUCUACAGAGCCAUUUUUUGUGUGUACAUCAAGGAGUGCUGUCACUGGAGAUCUUGCUUCAGAAUCGCUUCAGAACUUGAAGGCUUCUAGAAGAUUACUUUCCUGGUCAAAGAAGUCACACUGAAAUGAAAGAUAUAAGCCUGGAACAUCUGUUUAAUAUAAGCAAGUAAUGCUGGAAAAACUGGAAUGAGAAAAUAGUCUUCUGGCAAAUUUGAAAUACUGUGUGCUUCACAUUUGCAUUCUGGUCUACGUUCAAGAUGGUUCCUCCGCCUUUAACUGGAAACAAGAUAUAUUAGUUUCAGAUGGAAGUCCUGUGCCCAGUGAUACACACAGGACCAAAUUUACCAAGACUGACCCAUCCAUCUGCUGCCAGCCUGACCAGUGCCUGGAGACAGCCUGCACAGGACACGUGAAGCAUCUUUCAGCUACGAUGGGAAGGUCCCACCAGCAGCAUGGGGCAACUGAGAGGCAGUUGCAGGCCACUGAAGAGUCGCAAAAUUGGACAACAGAACAACUUCUCAAGGGGAAAAAAGUGAGAGCUCUUUACUUUCAGUUACAGUUUUGCAACUAGUAUCCAUGAUAUGUUUUUUCUUCAUCAAACUCCAACUACAAAGCUUCUGCUCAGAGAAGAAACAAACUUUCUGCCAAAAUCCUUUCACACUGUAACAGUGGACCGAAGAAGGAGAGGUCUGAUCUUUGAAACAGUGUUAAACUUCGGUGAAACAUAAGCAUUUCGUAGAAUGCUUUGGCUUGGAAGAAACCUCAGAGCCCGUCCAGUUCCACGCCUGGGCAGGGACACCACCCACUGGAUCAGGGGCUCCAGCCCCAUCCAACCUGGCCUGGAACCCCUCCAGGGAUGGGGCAGCCACAGCUUCCCUGGGCAACCUGGGCCAGGGCCUCCCUCACGGUAUCAAAUUUCUUCCUAAAAUCUCAUCUCAAUCUCCCCUCUUUCAGCUUAAAAUUGUUCCCCCUCGUAUUCCCAUGUAUUUUCAUACAUUAAUGCUGAUCUCUACGAAGAAAUGUCAGCUAGCUCAGUUACUGUGAGGCAAAUCAAUUCUUCCUACAUCACAAUGACGUUUCAUCACCAGUAAUCCUAUUGGGUUAGGAAUGCCUCUCCCUGAAAGGGCUCUAACCAGCCUGCUGAUUCCCGGCUUAGAGAUAUGUGAAUCAGAGGCUGUCAUUCCAUAGUGUCACGCAGCAGCAUUCUUUAGUGCUCUGUCACUUGAGGACAGUCACUUGUCUGUGCUCUUCACAGAAGCACAGAAUCACAGAAUCACAAGGUUGGAAAGGACCCAUUGGAUCAUCGAGUCCAACCAUUCCUAACACUCCCUAAACCAUGUCCCUCAGCACUUCAUCCACCCGUUCCUUAAACACCUCCAGGGAAGGCGACUCGACCCCCUCCCUGGGCAGCUGUUCCAGUACCCAAUGACCCUUUCUGUGAAGAAUUUUUUUCUGAUAUCCAACCUGA